GGCUCACGGGCUCAGCCGCUCCGCAGCACGUGGGAUCUUCCUGGACCGGGGCACGAACCCGCGUCCCCUGCAUCGGCAGGCGGACUCCCAGCCACUGCGCCACCAGGGAAGCCCGGUUCUUCUAAUUUUUUGAGCCCAGCCCCAUGUUAGCCUCGACCUUAUAGUCAGUGGGAGCUUGAGGAAGUCCUAGUCCGGCCACAGCACUGACUCCACGCAGCCCUUCAAGGGUUUCCAGAUAAAGACUUUGAUCAAGACACAUGUGCUGAAGGAUGAAUUUGUACUCAGCUCAGGGGACACACGAGAUAAGGAAGUUGAGGCUGAGAGAGUCACAGAACUUGCCCAAGGGCAACAUCACGGAGUGCGAAGCUGAGCUGCAGGCCCAGAAAUGAACAAGUUGAUCCUAAAAUUCAUAUGGAAAUGCAAGGGACCCAGAAUAGCCAAAACGAUCUUGAAAAAGAAGUACAAAGUUGGAGGGCUCACACUUCCCAAUUCAGAAACUUACUACCAAGCUGCAGUAAUCCAGACAGUGUGAUACUGGCAUUAAGACAGACAUGUAGAUCAAUGGGAUUCU